UACGGGGGGGGCAAGCGUUGUUCGGAAUUACUGGGCGUAAAGCGCGCGUAGGCGGCUUUGCAAGUCGGGUGUGAAAUCCCCAGGCUUAACCUGGGAACUGCAUUCGAGACUGCAUCGCUAGAGUAUCGGAGAGGGAAGUGGAAUUUCAGGUGUAGCGGUGAAAUGCGUAGAUAUCCGGAGGAACACCGGUGGCGAAGGCGGCUUCCUGGACCGACACUGACGCUGAGGCGCGAAAGCUAGGGGAGCAAACGGG
rnacentral:rRNA from 1 species